GACGAACGCUGGCGGCGUGCCUAACACAUGCAAGUCGAACGAGUGGCGGACGGGUGAGUAAUGUGUGGGAAACUGCCCGAUGGAGGGGGGUAAAUACUGGAGACGGUAGCUAAUACCGCAUACCAUCGGAUGUGCCCAGAUGGGAUUAGCUGGUAGGGGGGGUAACGGCGCACCUAGGCGCCGAUCCCUAGCUGGUCUGAGAGGAUGACCAGCCACACUGGAACUGAGACACGGCCCAGACUCCUACGGGAGGCAGCAGUGGGGAAUAUUGCACAAUGGGCGCAAGCCUGAUGCAGCCAUGCCGCGUGUAUGAAGAAGGCCUUCGGGUUGUAAAGUACUUUCAGCGAGGAGGCGUUACUCGCAGAAGAAGCACCGGCUAACUCCGUGCCAGCAGCCGCGGUAAUAC
rnacentral:rRNA from 1 species